rnacentral:rRNA from 1 species
UUAAGCAUAUCAAUAAGCGGAGGAAAAGAAACCAACAGGGAUUGCCCUAGUAACGGCGAGUGAAGCGGCAACAGCUCAAAUUUGAAAUCUGGCCCUAGCGGUCCGAGUUGUAAUUUGUAGAGGAUGCUUUUGGUUAGGUGCCUUCUGAGUUCCCUGGAACGGGACGCCAGAGAGGGUGAGAGCCCCGUACGGUUGGACACCGAGCCUCUAUAUAGCUCCUUCGACGAGUCGAGUAGUUUGGGAAUGCUGCUCUAAAUGGGAGGUAAAUUUCUUCUAAAGCUAAAUACCGGCCAGAGACCGAUAGCGCACAAGUAGAGUGAUCGAAAGAUGAAAAGUACUUUGAAAAGAGGGUUAAAUAGCACGUGAAAUUGUUGAAAGGGAAGCGUUUGCGACCAGACUUUUUCCAGGCGGAUCAUCCGGUGUUCUCACCGGUGCACUUCGCCUGGUUUAGGCCAGCAUCGGUUCUCUUAGGGGGAUAAAGGCCUGGGGAACGUAGCUCCUUCGGGAGUGUUAUAGCCCCUAGCGUAAUACCCUUCGGGGGACCGAGGAACGCGCAUCUGCAAGGAUGCUGGCGUAAUGGUCGUCAACGACCCGUC